UACAGAGGUCCCAAGCGUUGUCCGGAUUCACUGGGCGUAAAGGGUGCGUAGGUGGUGAGGUAAGUCGGAUGUGAAAUCUCCGAGCUCAACUCGGAAAUGGCAUUGGAAACUACCUUGCUAGAGGGUUGGAGGGGGGACUGGAAUACUUGGUGUAGCAGUGAAAUGCGUAGAUAUCAAGUGGAACACCAGUGGCGAAGGCGAGUCCCUGGACAACUCCUGACACUGAGGCACGAAAGCUAGGGGAGCAAACAGG
rnacentral:rRNA from 1 species